AAUGAACGCUGGCGGCAGGCCUAACACAUGCAAGUCGAACGGAUCCCUCGGGCUUAGUGGCGGACGGGUGAGUAACGCGUGGGAACAUACCCAAAGGUACGGAAUAGCCUCGGGAAACUGGGAGUAAUACCGUAUGUGCUUGAAAGAGGAAAGAUUUAUCGCCGUUGUAUUGGCCCGCGUUGGAUUAGGUAGUUGGUGGGGUAACGGCCUACCAAGCCGACGGUCCAUAGCUGGUUUGCGAGGAUGAUCAGCAACACUGGGACUGAGACACGGCCCAGACACCAAAGAGAGGCAGCAGGGGGGAAUCUUAGACGUUGGGGAAAGACCUGAUGUAGCCAGGCGGCGUGAUCGAUGAAGGCCUUAGGAUUGUAAAGAUCUUUCAGGUGUGAAGAUAUUGACUAUACCACCAGAAGAAGCCCCGGCUAACUCCGUGCCAGCCGCCGCGGUAA
rnacentral:rRNA from 1 species